GACGAACGCUGGCGGCGUGCUUAACACAUGCAAGUCGAACGGAAAGGCCCCCUUGUGGGGUACUCGAGUGGCGAACGGGUGAGUAACACGUGAGUAACCUACCCUUGCCUUUGGGAUAACUUCAGGAAACUGGGGCUAAUACCGGAUAGGAGCUCCUGCUGCAUGGUGGGGGUUGGAAAGUUUCGGCGGUUGGGGAUGGACUCGCGGCUUAUCAGCUUGUUGGUGGGGUAGUGGCUCACCAAGGCUUUGACGGGUAGCCGGCCUGAGCGGGUGACCGGCCACAUUGGGACUGAGAUACGGCCCAGACUCCUACGGGAGGCAGCAGUGGGGAAUAUUGCACAAUGGGCGGAAGCCUGAUGCAGCAACGCCGCGUGCGGGAUGACGGCCUUCGGGUUGUAAACCGCUUUCGCCUGUGACGAAGCGUGAGUGACGGUAAUGGGUAAAGAAGCACCGGCUAACUACGUG
rnacentral:rRNA from 1 species